rnacentral:rRNA from 1 species
GACGAACGCUGGCGGCGUGCCUAAUACAUGCAAGUCGAGCGAAUGGAUGGGAGCUUGCUCCCUGAAGUUAGCGGCGGACGGGUGAGUAACACGUGGGCAACCUGCCUGUAAGACUGGGAUAACUUCGGGAAACCGGAGCUAAUACCGGAUACAUUCUUUCUUCGCCUGAAGAAAGAUGGAAAGAUGGUUUCGGCUAUCACUUACAGAUGGGCCCGCGGCGCAUUAGCUAGUUGGUGAGGUAACGGCUCACCAAGGCAACGAUGCGUAGCCGACCUGAGAGGGCGAUCGGCCACACUGGGACUGAGACACGGCCCAGACUCCUGCGGGAGGCAGCAGUAGGGAAUCUUCCGCAAUGGACGAAAGUCUGACGGAGCAACGCCGCGUGAGCGAAGAAGGCCUUCGGGUCGUAAAGCUCUGUUGUUAGGGAAGAACAAGUACCAGAGUAACUGCUGGUACCUUGACGGUACCUAACCAGAAAGCCACGGCUAACUACGUGCCAGCCGCCGCAGUAAAAC